rnacentral:rRNA from 1 species
AUUGAACGCUGGCGGCAUGCUUUACACAUGCAAGUCGAACGGCAGCGCGGGCUUCGGCCUGGCGGCGAGUGGCGAACGGGUGAGUAAUACAUCGGAACGUUCCCAGUAGUGGGGGAUAGCUCGGCGAAAGCCGGAUUAAUACCGCAUACGACCUGAGGGUGAAAGCGGGGGAUCUUCGGACCUCGCGCUAUUGGAGCGGCCGAUGGCAGAUUAGCUAGUUGGUGGGGUAAAGGCCUACCAAGGCGACGAUCUGUAGCUGGUCUGAGAGGACGACCAGCCACACUGGGACUGAGACACGGCCCAGACUCCUACGGGAGGCAGCAGUGGGGAAUUUUGGACAAUGGGCGAAAGCCUGAUCCAGCAAUGCCGCGUGUGUGAUGAAGGCCUUCGGGUUGUAAAGCACUUUUGGCGGGAACGAAAAGGACUGUGCCAAUACCACGGUUCGAUGACGGUACCCGCAGAAUAAGCACCGGCUAACUACGUG